UACGAAGGGUGCAAACGUUGCUCGGAAUUAUUGGGCGUAAAGCGCACGUAGGCGGCAUUGCAAGUCCCAUGUGAAAGCCCACGGCUUAACCGUGGAAGUGCAUGGGAAACUGCAGUGCUUGAGUACUUAAGAGGAUCGCGGAAUUCCCGGUGUAGAGGUGAAAUGCGCAGAUAUCGGGAAGAACACCCGUGGCGAAGGCGGCUCUCUGGGACGGUACUGACGCUGAGACGCGAAAGCGUGGGGAGCGAACAGG
rnacentral:rRNA from 1 species